CGGUGGGUGUUGGUGUCUGCUGCCUGCUUGCUGCAGGAGCACUGCACGCAGCCGUUUGCCAGAGGCUGGAUAUGGGCCUUUGGACUACGGAUCACAUUCCUACCAGUGACUAAAGCUGUAGUGGGAUUACUCUUUUAUAGCAUGUUAUCAAUAGCGCUUGCACCUUCUUCACUCUCAAAUCCCUAUGGGCAGGGCCCCGUCAGUAAAAGGGCUUUGACACGGAUGUGUGUUGCUUGGCCCAGCUGAGGUACAUAGUGGCAGUGAGAAUCUGGAGCAGUAGCAGAGCCUGAGUCCCUGCUGCAUACGGUCUGCAGAGAGAGCGGCUGGAGAGCAUAUUAACAGCUGGAGCUGUCUUGGACCUUGUCUGCAAAUCCUACUGUUGGCGACAUCCCCUUCCUAUGGAAUCCUGUGGAAUGUGAAGAUGACCUUUCCAUGCCCCUGAGAUCACCACGUUUGAGAUCUGGGAUUCACCAGGGACCAGAUCCUUGACCACUUUGCAUAAAUUUCCUUGUCGGCAGCUCCCUGUUGCUUAUAACAAAGGCUUCAAUUUCUGUGGUUCCAGUCUUCAGCAGUAGAGGUGUGGCUCUGGGAGGGAGACUGCCUAAAGGUGCGGGUCCUUGGCUGAUGACAGUUAAGUGAAUUCCCACCAGGAUCCUGCAUGCAACGUGGAAGGACACAUAGGCAGCAGUGCUUGUGGAAGGUAGAGCCUGUGUUUGCCUGGAUAGUAGGCACUCUUACAGCUUUUUCAGCCUGUGUUUUAUAAAUAUACCCACUUAGACAUAGAUGUCCAAAUGCCAUCCCCUGUUUGUGAGGAAUAGCCAGUUUGCUUAAAAACCACAAAUGGCCUCUCCACUUUCAUCCCAGUCCAUUAAACUAUGGGCUUUUGUCAUCUCUUUUUGUCAUUCUGGUUUAUUCAGUGGAAUAUUCACAAAAGUGGCUUGAAGGUGUCUGAGUACGAUCUUCCCAGCGAAGCUACGGGUCCUUUUGUUCUGUCCGGGUACAGUGGCUACAAGCAAGUCCAGUUCCCACGAGGGAGGCUUUUUGCUUUUGACUCUGAGGGCAACUAUAUGUUGACGUGUUCUUCUACUGGGGGAGUCCUUUUUAAGUUGAACGGUGAGGAAAAGGUUCUGGAGAGCUGCCUUUCCCUGGGAGGACACAGAGCUCCCGUUGUCACAGUGGACUGGAGCACGGCCAUGGACUGCGGGACCUGCCUCACCGCCUCUAUGGAUGGGAAGAUUAAAUUAACAACCUUACUGGCUCAAAAGUCUUAACCUGGACAGUGCCGAAGGGAAAGAGCAAAAGACUUGACAAAACUAGCGUGAACUCCACAGGAACAAACUGCAUGGGAGAGAAGGCAAACCACAGUCCCUCUUCUCAUUGUAGCUUUUGCCUCUUGACAAAAGUUAAAUACAUUUGCCAAACCACUGUGCAGUAGAAUGCUGGUAUGGGACCGGAUCAGUGGCAGCACUGAAAAAUAAGUCUUCACUGAUCCAUAGUGGUAGCUGGACCCACUCUGUUAGGGAGCCUUGAGUAGCAUGUGGCUAGAAGGCUGCUGGGAUCACGUCAGGGGUUCUGCAGAAGGUGAGGUUGGAGGAGGCGUGCAUGAGGCAGCACAGUGCACGGUGAUAAGAUGACUCAAACUGGAAAGGCCAGUGCAAAACCAGAGUAUUCUUUCAGUAUAGCAUUUGUUGUUGUGCUUUUUUUUUUGUUUGUUUGUUUGUGUGUUUGAUCAGGUCCCC